AGGAUGCUUCGGCGCCUGCUUGCCGAAGCGGCUGCUAUACGCAGCGCGGCAAAGCGGUAUGCGGCCGGUUUUCU
rnacentral:sRNA from 1 species